AGGAGCACAGUUUUUGCUCUGCUAAGAAAUGGCCGACGGCGAAGCACUCUGCGAAGCAGCUCGGAAUGGUGAAAUCAGCAGUAUUAAAUCUCUGAUUGAUUCCGGCGGCGAUGUCACCUACUUUGACAAAGACGGACUUACUCCGCUGAUGCACGCCGCCAAGCACGGCCAUGCCGAGGUCGUAAAGGCUCUCCUUGAUGCUAGUGCCCCAUGGAAUGCCCUGACCCCUUCCAAUGUCUCCG
rnacentral:misc_RNA from 1 species